UUGUUGGUAAGGUAAAAGCUUACCAAGGCUUCGAUCAGUAGCUGGUCUGAGAGGACGGCCAGCCACACUGGGACUGAGACACGGCCCAGACUCCUACGGGAGGCAGCAGUGGGGAAUUUUGGACAAUGGGGGCAACCCUGAUCCAGCCAUGCCGCGUGAGUGAAGAAGGCCUUCGGGUUGUAAAGCUCUUUCAGCCGGAACGAAACGGUUACGGUUAACACCCGUGACUACUGACGGUACCGGAAGAAGAAGCACCGGCUAACUACGUGCCAGCAGCCGCGGUAAUACGUAGGGUGCGAGCGUUAAUCGGAAUUACUGGGCGUAAAGCGUGCGCAGGUGGUUUUGUAAGUCAGAUGUGAAAGCCCCGGGCUCAACCUGGGAACUGCGUUUGAAACUACAAGACUAGAGUGUGGCAGAGGGGGGUGGAAUUCCGCGUGUAGCAGUGAAAUGCGUAGAGAUGUGGAGGAACACCGAUGGCGAAGGCAGCCCCCUGGGUCAACACUGACGCUCAGGCACGAAAGCAUGGGGAGCAAACAGGAUUAGAUACCCUGGUAGUCCAUGCCCUAAACGAUGUCAACUAGUUGUCGGGCCUUUACGGGCUUGGUAACGUAGCUAACGCGUGAAGUUGACCGCCUGGGGAGUACGAUCGCAAGAUUAAAACUCAAAUGAAUUGACGGGGACCCGCACAAGCGGUGGAUUAUGUGGAUUAAUUCGAUGCAACGCGAAAAACCUUACCUACCCUUGACAUGUAUCGAAGCCCGCAGAAAAGCGGGGGUGCCCGAAAGGGAACGAUAACACAGGUGCUGCAUGGCUGUCGUCAGCUCGUGUCGUGAGAUGUUGGGUUAAGUCCCGCAACGAGCGCAACCCUUGUCAUUAAUUGCCAUCAUUUAGUUGGGCACUUUAAUGAGACUGCCGG
rnacentral:rRNA from 1 species